UAGUAUUCAAAUUAGCAUGCAUUCAAUUAUAAGCAAAACUACAUCAUCUCUUUUGUCCAUACAUCGUUGAAUAUUAUCACUACUACUCCUCGAAUACUAUCAUACAUAUAGCAUCACUGAUACAGCUAGAACCGUAGCGCCCGACGGGUAUCGUCGCGGGCGGUGGACACCCAAAGAGAAGGAACCAUCACAGGAUCAUAGCUCCAGUGAGAUCCCCGAAGAACCUGCCAGGUAUGCUCGAACCUGCCCUCCAAUGCAACCAUGUAGCGACGGACGUGUUCAUCCUCCUCGCUGACACGGUGACGUACCACCUCUGCGGUGUCCG
rnacentral:lncRNA from 1 species